CAGUCGAACGGACUCAUAUUGAAACCUAGUGAUUUAUGAGUUAGUGGCGGACGGGUGAGUAACGCGUGGAUAACCUGCCGUAUACCGGGGGAUAACACUUAGAAAUAGGUGCUAAUACCGCAUAAGCGCACGGCUCCGCAUGGGGCAGUGUGAAAAACUCCGGUGGUAUACGAUGGAUCCGCGUCUGAUUAGCUAGUUGGCGGGGUAACGGCCCACCAAGGCAGCGAUCAGUAGCCGGCCUGAGAGGGUGGACGGCCACAUUGGGACUGAGACACGGCCCAAACUCCUACGGGAGGCAGCAGUGGGGAAUAUUGCACAAUGGGGGAAACCCUGAUGCAGCGACGCCGCGUGAGUGAAGAAGUAUCUCGGUACGUAAAGCUCUAUCAGCAGGGAAGAAAAUGACGGUACCUGACUAAGAAGCCCCGGCUAACUACGUGCCAGCAGCCGCGGUAAUACGUAGGGGGCAAGCGUUAUCCGGAUUUACUGGGUGUAAAGGGAGCGUAGACGGCGAUGCAAGUCUGAAGUGAAAGCCCGGGGCUCAACCCCGGGACUGCUUUGGAAACUGUAUGGCUGGAGUGCUGGAGAGGCAAGCGGAAUUCCUAGUGUAGCGGUGAAAUGCGUAGAUAUUAGGAAGAACACCAGUGGCGAAGGCGGCUUGCUGGACAGUAACUGACGUUGAGGCUCGAAAGCGUGGGGAGCAAACAGGAUUAGAUACCCUGGUAGUCCACGCUGUA
rnacentral:rRNA from 1 species